UACGUAGGGUGCGAGCGUUGUCCGGAAUUAUUGGGCGUAAAGGGCUCGUAGGCGGUCUGUUGCGUCAGGAGUGAAAACUCGGGGCUUAACCCCGAGCCUGCUUCUGAUACGGGCAGACUAGAGGUAUGCAGGGGAGAACGGAAUUCCUGGUGUAGCGGUGAAAUGCGCAGAUAUCAGGAGGAACACCGGUGGCGAAGGCGGAUCUCUGGGCCUUACCUGACGCUCAGGUGCGAAAGCUAGGGGAGCAAACAGG
rnacentral:rRNA from 1 species